CCCGGGCUCAACCUGGGAACUGCAUUCGAAACUGGCAGGCUAGAGUCUUGUAGAGGGGGGUAGAAUUCCAGGUGUAGCGGUGAAAUGCGUAGAGAUCUGGAGGAAUACCGGUGGCGAAGGCGGCCCCCUGGACAAAAAAAAACGCUCAGGUGCGAAAGCGUGGGGAGCAAACAGGAUUAGAUACCCUGGUAGUCCACGCCGUAAACGAUGUCGACUUGGAGGUUGUGCCCUUGAGGCGUGGCUUCCGGAGCUAACGCGUUAAGUCGACCGCCUGGGGAGUACGGCCGCAAGGUUAAAACUCAAAUGAAUUGACGGGGGCCCGCACAAGCGGGGAGCAUGUGGUUUAAUUCGAUGCAACGCGAAGU
rnacentral:rRNA from 1 species